UGGGGAAUAUUGGACAAUGGAGGCAACUCUGAUCCAGCAAUUCUGUGUGUGUGAAGAAGGUUUUAGUACUGUAAAACACUUUUAGUAGGGAAGAAAGAAAUGACGGUACCUACAGAAGAAGCGACGGCUAAAUACGUGCCAGCAGCCGCGGUAAUACGUAUGUCGCGAGCGUUAUCCGGAAUUAUUGGGCUUAAAGGGCAUCUAGGCGGUUAAACAAGUUGAAGGUGAAAACCUGUGGCUCAACCAUAGGCUUGCCUACAAAACUGUAUAACUAGAGUACUGGAAAGGUGGGUGGAACUACACGAGUAGAGGUGAAAUUCGUAGAUAUGUGUAGGAAUGCCGAUGAUGAAGAUAACUCACUGGACAGCAACUGACGCUGAAGUGCGAAAGCUAGGGGAGCAAACAGG
rnacentral:rRNA from 1 species